rnacentral:lncRNA from 1 species
AGAAAGAUUAGAAUAACCUAGAAUAUUAGAAAAUACUGUUGUUGCCAUAUGUUGAAGCUAUUUUUUCUUUUCUUCCUAAACAGAAAAUGAAGGGACACCAUUUCAAAACGGGCUGUUCAAAUGAGUCAUGAGAUAUUUAUAGCUCCACAGGGUGUCUCACCAACACUGCACUCUCAUGUGGCAGAACCAGAAAGUGCAGCAGCAGGAGAAUAUUCAACAAAUGGAUAUUGAAGUAUCAUAUGCCGUGUCUGUCACAUGGAUGAAAUCUGAUGAUACUCAACUACGAGGAGAAGUCUAAGCAAACAGCAUCCUGCAGGGAUGAGGCCAAUGAUGGCUAUUCUUCCACCAGUUUCUUCCAUUGCUAUAGAUCAUCCUGGGCUCCAACUAAUUGGGUAACACAUACCACACCCAUCAAUCCCAAGAAGAGUGAAGGCUUUGUGCCCUGUGGUCUUCAAGUGCUUUAACGUCCAUGGCUGGGUCUUCAACUCUGCCUGCCUCCCUCUCUCCUCCUCUCUCCUCUCCCCCUCCCCCUCCCUCUUCUUCUUCCUCUUCCUUCCUCUCCCUCUUCCCUUUCCCUGCAACUACAUAGUGAGAAAGCAAGCAAUUUCAAUGGGAAAAACUACUCCUAGAUGUAGCUACAGCCCAGCCCACCUGAGCUCUCAGCUGGCAGACAUCACCACCACCACCACCACCACCAUCUCAUGAGACUUUGGAAGUUUGUAAAUGAAUGACCAUCCAGGUGUCUGCAGCCCCACUCUCCAAGAGAAGAGUGAAGCUGAAUGGGGUGAGCAAAUGCAUUGUUAUGAAAAACUGCCAAGUCAUGGGCAGUUUGUUACCAGCACCAGAUGACUGCAACAGAGGCUGUACAGCCAGACUCCUGUCUUCAAAACUGGCCUGCAGGUGACCCCAUGUAUAUGAGAACCAGGGAGAGGAUUCGAAGACAAUAGAUCCCCCAUGGGGAGAGUUCAGACUGUAAUAUUUUGACCCUGUGUUUUGUACCUUGCACCUAGUAGGUACUUAAUACAUUUAUAUUUUGAGUGAAACAAAGAAGCCACUUGCAAUGACAAAUGGUACCCAAGUAGUAGAUGUUAGCAAGAAUAAAUCACAGAUAUGGGGUAGAUUGAUGGCA